rnacentral:rRNA from 1 species
GACAGAGGGUGCAAACGUUGCUCGGAAUUACUGGGCGUAAAGCGCGUGUAGGUGGAUUGGUGUGUCAGAUGUGAAAUCCCUGGGCUCAACCCAGGAACUGCACCUGAAACUACCAGUCUUGAGUGGUGGAGAGGGAAGUGGAAUUCCUGGUGUAGAGGUGAAAUUCGUAGAUAUCAGGAGGAACACCAGUGGCGAAGGCGGCUUCCUGGACACCAACUGACGCUGAGGCGCGAAAGUGUGGGGAGCGAACAGG